GGAGGAUGUUCAGAAUGACCAUAUUAAUAUAGUAGAAGUUGUUGUAAGCCACCAAGUGGAUGACCACAUCGAGGAUGACACUCUAUGCAGAAAUGACGUUGAUCCCACAAUCGUUGAAAGACCGGUUGUGCGUCAUGUCACUGACGACUUCAUCGACGAUGUGGAUGAACACUUGUCACAUGCAAGCGAUGAGGAAUUAUAGUGACAAAUUAAACCACUCAUUAUGUCAUAUCGACGAUCAAAUUUUAUGGAGACGGACGAUAUGUUCCUCCAGUUUGAGGAGGAUUUAGAUAACAUUGCGGGAGGGUCGUCAUCUGUGGGCGACAAUACGGAGUCUUCUUCUCAACAAACGACUCCGACUCCUAGGAGACGUGCGCAGUCUCGACUCUUGGAGUUAGAGCGCCACGUUGCAAUAAAUGGGCGCAUUCCGAUGACGAUCGCCCUUGGAGCGGAGAAGCCUAUUUCUCCACACGUCGUUCGCUUCAGCCAGGCGAUAGGCGUGUGCGUGCGAAGACAUUUCCCGUCCGCUGUCUUAAGUGGGCGGACGUUGGGAGAGAAUAC